UCUUUUGAAUUUGACUAUUAG
rnacentral:miRNA from 1 species